UGCCCUUUCAAUUUAAAGGUGAUUGCCUUGGCGAAUUGUCAGACUCAGAAAUGUUAGUGCAAUUCUUUUACGAAUUUGCUUCAGAAAACGCAAGAAAUGCAGUUAUCGAGCUUCAAGAAUAGCACAAUCGCCUGGCGGAGAACCCCCUCACACCCCUAUCAUCCAAUAAAUAGAAAACAUGAUUAGGCGAAGUUCAACUCCCGAUGUUUUGCAAACAUCUCUUAGUAUAUAUCAAUUCAAAAGUGCCAUUUCACGAAAAUCUGCGCCCCUUGCCUUCACAUCGUUCCGGCGUCCCUGCUACUUCUCUACUACACAUUACACCCUGCCACGAAAGUUGCCAUUGUCAGGCCAGUGU